CAAGACAUGGUAAAUAGUUGUUGUUUUAAAUCUACGUAUAUCUAGGGUUAAACCCCUUUAAUACCAAUCUGACUAAAGUACAGUCCUGUAUUACAAAUAUUGGUCUGUGCUUUCGUCAGAUUACUUAAAUACGCACUAUAAAGAACCCUUCUACUGUCGUUGAUGAAUGUUGUUACAUCAAACACUUGUUCGACAUUUUGACCCCUAUCACAAGAAAAUAUUCAAGCUGUAGUUUUACUUAUGAAAAUGAAUUAAGGUGGCUCGUUACACCUAUAUUUGAUGUCUCGUUAAAGCACCUCACCAAUGUAGGAUACUCACAGCUGAUUUCGUCCCGUACUCAUGAGUAGAAUUCGAAAUCAGUCGCGAGUAUCUGACGACGGCGCCUCAUAUGAAAGUGACCUGGAGAGUCGACAAAGGGGCGGCGACCGCUUGGGGUCGAAUUUACAAUUAAGAGGCUGUCCACGGAGAUAUCAGGCAGUAGCUAUAAUACGGUUGGCACAUGCAAUUCCCCAAAAUUUUAUUCAUACCCAAUAAAAGUUAAGGUCAUACGCCAAUUUUAUCGUAUGUAAAGUGAAUUUCACAAAAAACAUUGUUAGAUGCCAAAACUUGGCCUAUUUCAUAAAUUGGAGGACACUAUAUAAUCUAUAGAAAAUGAUCAUUUUGUAAAGUUAAAUAAUACCCAAUACAAUAAAAUUUGUCCAGAAAGUAUAAACAAUAUUUGAAGGAAAUUCCUUAAUAAUUAAGAUGAAACAAUAAAAUUGCUGGGAAACAAUGCUGUUGUUGAGCAUUUACUGACAGAAGUAGCCAAAAAGCCAGUAAUUUGAGUUACCUCCCUUGGCGUAAAAAAUGUAAAAUGAUCCGAAACUUGCAUAAAUUGUAAUUUUCGAAGAAAACAGUAUUUAUUUAGAACAUUUUUCACUUAUCUCGAUUUUUUUUAUCAAGUGUAAACGUGGAAUUAUUAUUUUUUUUUAAUUUGAUGGUGAAAAAUAAAUAUUCAGCCCGGACCUUAUCAAAGUUUCGUGGGUAAACAGAUAUGGCUGACAAGUGAUAGAAACGUGAAGUUUUUCUAGGAGUGGUCCUUAUUUUAGGGACUUGUCAACCCUUAAUAAUUGUUCAAAAGACAUAAGUGGAUAUUCAAGAUAUUUUAAAGUUGGAACUGCGUGUAAUAUUCAACUGAGAUUGACCCCCUGCUGUACAGAUCGGGGUACUUCGAAUUCGACGUAAAAGUUUAACUGUUUAAACUAUCGUGCACGGUGCAGAUGCUUACUAGUAUGCCGAGGUCAUUGCGAUUUUUUGGGGAUUUACUGGAGGCAACCACCACUAAAUGUAGUUAUCUACUACACAGAGGAAAGUGUAAAGCAGACAGAGCAGUAAACUUCAAUGUUUCAAGGGAAAUAUUUAUUCUCGUUGGAAGUGGUAAGUAUAGAUGUCGAAUUUUCUCUGUUAUUUUUCUUUGAACACUGUCUUUGAUUGCUAGACAAUUUUGAUGCAAGUUCUCAUGAUGUGUCAGUGCAAACAAUUCAUUUGAUGAAAUGAUUCUUUUUAAAAUAAUGAUUAAAAUAAAUCCCCACAGUAAAAAAAACCCAUUAAAUCAAUCGGGGGGGGGGGGGGGGGGGGGUUAAUGUAGGGAUUUUUAAAAUCUGUACUACAACACAAUGUUUAUCCACAAAUCAUUGAAUUAAGAAACAAUAGAAGCACACAAAAACAAGAUGAAAGUGGUGAAAAGUUCAAUAAGUGUUUAUAAAAAUGUUUAUUGUCCUGCAAGCUAUGUACAUAUCAGCAUGCAUGCAUAAAAAAUAAUAUAUAUUAAAAUUAUAUCAGAUUAUUUUUGACUGAUUUUUUUUACUAGCUACUUUUCACAUGUGUUUGUUUUUUGGAUUCCUAGAUUUAAUAACUAUUAAAGGAUGAAUGAAUCAGUGUGAGAGGGUAGUAUAUGUACAUGUAUGUAUGUGACAAAAACCGAAUAAUAAAUAUUUAAAAAAUAAUGAUAUAUAUUUAUUCAUGUAAUUAUGCAACUAUAAGAACCACUAUGGGGGUGGGGGUGGUGGUGUUAAAGGUUGAUGUAUAUCAUUAAUUUCUCUAAAUUUAAGCUGAAUGGAUUAUAAAAUUCAGAUGGUUUAACAUGACACAAAAUCUGAUGAUUUAUUUGCAUGCACACAGGUACUAAAGUGUAUUAGUGUGACAUACAUGUAUAUACCAAUUACCAAAGCUUGAUAAUGAAUACAACGCCCAUUUCAUUACAGAUUUGGAAAAUAAUUAUAGUCAAAUCACCCCUACUGCAAGCCAAUUAUCAGACUGUAUCACUCACCUGAGCUGAAGACUCAAGAGAGCUUUUCUCAUAAAAAUUUGUCUGGAUUCUGUUGUCAUCAUAGUGGUAAUAAUUUUUCCCAUUUUCAUCUUCUCCAGAACCAAUGGCCCAAUUGAAUGAGAUUCAUUUUCGUUUAAAUGAAAGGUCAUGCCCCCUUUGAAGGGAGAUAAUCAAGAAAAGGCAAAAAUAGGAUGGGGUCAUUUAAUAUAAUGAAAAUAUGCAAGCAAUCCCAGGUUGUGUAGAUUGGAGUUAGUUCAAUUCAUGACCUGGGUGUAGGAUGAGGCUAUAAUAGGGGGUCAAAGUUUUAUAAGGGAUAAUAUAAGGAAACAUCUUUAACAAUCCUCUUCUCAAGAAGGGUAUGUCAAUGAUUAGUCAUAUUCAAAUGCAAGGAUCUUCAGGUAGUGUAAAUUUUAUUUUGUUCAAUUCAGAGGCUAAAGAAUUAGGGUAUGGAGGAGAUCAAAGUAUGAUGUGGGAAUAUACAGGAAAUUAAAACAAAUUCUUUUCAAGGUUAGCAGGGCCACACUAAAUCCUUUCAAACUGCAAAUGUUCCUAAUUUGUGUUGAUUCAUUUUUCCUUUCUAUGCGCCCAUGACUACAGUCGGGGGGGGGGGGGGGGGGGGAGGGGGGGUCUGGAACUUCCUCAUGUUAGUAAUAAGGCUCUCAUAUUUCAUAUCUUUAUUCCUUAUAAUAAGACAUUUCUUUUGAUAUCAUUUUUUUUUUUUACUUUUGUGUUUGGCCUACUUUUAACAAAAUAUAACCUACAGUAGGCAAUUCUCCUGAACUAUAUAUAAGAUAGUCUAGCCUUUUAUGUUUAGUAUUUAGAUAUCUUAAGGCAAGAACUUUCAUUUGAUACCAUGCUGUUUGAUAUUGUGACCUUGGUUUUGAAGUUUAACCCAGACUUUAUUAUAUUGAUAUUUUACAUAAAGAUAUACAAAAUGUGUAUAUUCUUUAUUACCAGACUUUUAAUUUAGUACCUGACCUUAGUCUUUAAAAUAGCAUGAUUUUCAAAAACUUUAAAUUGGUAUAUAGUUUCUCAGCCACUUUGGAUUGGGCUUUGAUAUAGAUUUCACAUAUUAUAGAUUACUAAUGAAAAGAGCUUUACUUUUGAACUUCUGACUUUGACCAUGUUGACCUACUUUUGAAAAACAUUCAUUAUUACCAGAUCUGUUAUAUCUUGAGGGAUAAGGUAUUGGGUUAGUUUGUUUCACAUGAAAUGCCUAAUGACCAGAAUUUAUUUCAUAUCAUGACCUUUGACCUUGUGACUAUAUCAAACAUAUGAUCUUGACUUUCUUAAUGCAUUGCUUACAGUGCUAUUUAAAUAUGUUCAUCAUUUUAUUUCCAUUAAUUUACACAACUGUUGUUAUUUAGAUCUCAGCUGAGUCCAAGAUAGGAAGAGGCUUUGGAGAGAACACAGAAUUACUACAGACAAAAGACUUGUGAAGUUAUAAGGGGAAUUGCAGAACCCAUAGCUCCACUUCAAUCUAGAUAUGUUGACAGUUAUUUCACAGAAACACUUUGCAGCUGACAAAGAUAAUCAAAUGAUGACCAAAAUAUUCAAAAGAAACACUGCUAUGGCAUUAGACAUAACUUAGAAGAGAGUGGUGGGGUGGCAAAAUAAGAUUACAUACUGUGAAAUGUAUCAAUUGUUAAUAUACAUAUAUCAAUAUAAAUUCAGUGCCAAUUUUCAUAAUUUCUAGGGGAAAAGUUUGUUUGUAACAAAUGUCAGAAAUAUGCACUAGCUCUUUCUUUGCAAACCAUGCUACUAAGUACCAGGCAUUAAGACAUGAUUUGUUUAUUGUCAUUUGUUAAACAUAGACAGAUCCAGUGAUUUGAAAGGGGGGGGGGGGGGGGUGUCCAGAAAAAUGAUCUCAAAUCUGCAUUAGGUCAUAUCCGAUGAAUUGAUAAAGUAAAUAUGUUUAUUAUUGAUUGCUAGUUACAUGUAACCUUUUAUGCAUCAGUUGAAGAUACUUUAUGAACAUUUUCCGUCACUGGGUAAAAUUCAACAAACAUUUUGUGUAUCUGGAAGUGGUCAAUAUAUAUUUCAACAUCAGAGUAAACAUGCAUUAAAGCAAGUCUGCCAAUCUGAUGUAGGCAGAAAAUGGAAUAUGGCAUGUUAUUUCAUGAAUGCAAAGGGAAAUGCUUUACAAGAGAGUCAAAAAAUGUCUGGUGAAUGCUAAAUAACUAUCUAGAUGUCCCAGAGAAAAGGAGAGGGUGUGUUCUACCCCCCCCCCCCCCCCCCCCUCGGGAUCUGCCAAUGUCAAGUUUGGAAUGUGAGUGAAUGAAUUAAGAUUCUUCAUGAUAGGCAAUUUAUUAAAAUUUGAUUUACUGAUAAUUUUAACUUCAUAUAUGUGUGUUAAUUAAUUGACUAUUAUCUCAAAUCCUGUGUCAGAAAUGACCUCUAAAAAUCAACAUUGUAAAAUUUUAUACAAUGAAUUACAUAGGCAUUUUUUUGCCUUUAUUAUAUAGAAUGUAUACAAAGACAUGAAAUUUAUUUCUGAAUGUUCAUAUGUUCUAGUAAUUUUUCAUGAAUUUUAAUCAUUUAAUCAUUGAUUGGUUAUAUCUACUUCAUAUUUAUUUCUAUUUAUGUAGUUCAACAAUCUUCAUUUAAGUAGUUGACCUUUUUGCACUUAUUGAAAAUUUUGAGAUUUCAGUUCAACUUUUCACCAUCAAACCUUGCUUUUCCCACUGAAUUUAUUUUUGUAACUUGAAAUACACCUCUUCAAGUUUCUGGUUAUACAUAAUUUAUUCUUUUUUUGAGACAUUGUAUUGGGUUUUAUGAGAUCUUAUAAUUUGAUCAUUAUUUUGUAAAUUAUAUUGGUGUGAAAUAUGUGCAAUUUUAACAAUUAAUAAAUUCAUUCAUUGGAUGAAUAUACACACAAAAA